AAAUGUGCAAACAACUCAACAAAGCACUAACUGAAAGAGAGCUGCUACAAGUGAUGAGAACCAUCGAUCCAAAAGAAAAUGCUCCACACGUGCUCCUGUGCAGAAAAGGUCAUCUAAAUCUCUAGGAUCGCCUAAGCAGAAGAUGAAGGCUUCUUCCAAUAUUGUUGUAAAAAAUGUAACAGUACAUGUGAACUCCAGUUCAUCCUCUACUGUCAAUGUAACCUCCGGCCUGGCAAGUUCCCAAGUUGGCGGAAAUAAAAAAAGCAAAGAAAGUGCCAGCAAAACUACAAUGGCGACGCCACGCAGCUCCUGCGCCUUGCAACCCUCUCCUUGCCCGCACAGCAGGAGUGGGAGCAAGGAUGCCGAGGCAGUAGUUUAGGUUUGCCUCCACCUCCUCUCCUCUCUUCCCCUGCUCUCCACAUCUCUGACUUGGUUUUAGCUCUCAGACUUUUACUUUGCCUUUUCUGGGAAAAAAAUGGUAUGAAAUAUGAGAUAUGGACAUCAAGUUCACUUCUUUUCUUUUCAUCUGUAGUUGCCAGGAAGAGUAGGAAGAUGAGGCAGAGAAGGUUUCACAUGCCUCUUCUACUGAUAAGUCUUUUCUUUCCAGGAUUGCCAUGGUUCCUCCGGAGGGACAUAUCCCCUUUGACCCUCCACUGUCAAUGAUGCGAAAAACAUGGUGCUAGAGGACAAAAAAUCUAAGCAGAAUCUGCCACCAACUGUGCAAGUGUGCUUGUUCUUACGUCAACUAGGAGAUGAUGCAAGCCAAGGCGCUUACACCGAUUUAAGAUGAAAACAAACAAGUAUUAUUGGAGCCUGGACGAUGAUAUCAAAGGAAUUUCUUCUCUGAGCAAUGCAGGCCAUGAAGAACAGCAGCUAUGAAGACUUGUCUCAAAGAAAUCGUUCUAAACAUCCAGCGAUACAUCUGUCUAAGCUCUGCCUAUCUACAUGCCUUGCUCAUAACAUUGUAAAUGAUCGGUCGUAAGCUUCUUAGAAAACAUGUAUCAUCAGCAACCAUCUAUCUAUCAUCAAUCUGUACUUAUUUUCAUAUAUUUUCUUCUGUGUCUACAUAUUUUGAUGCACACUCUUUCAAUAGUUGGCUUGCUCUCGGCCUUUGCGCCAUGGGCGCAACGGGUCCUCUAGUAUAAAUAAUACCAAAGUGCUAUGUAUGUACAAAUGAUAUUACGAUAAUAGAAUUUAGUUGGAAGAAUGUGCCU